UAUUAAUGUAAAUUUAUUACCAGAUUAGUAUUAGUUAUGUUCUUCAAAUUUAAAAAAUUUGGCGGUGUUUUAGUCUUUUCAGAGGAACCUGUUUUAUAAUUGAUAAUCCACAAUUAUUUGUACUUUUGUUUUAAGUUUGUAUAUCGUCGUUAAAAUAAUUUUUUAAGAAUUAAUAAUUUUUUUAAUUUUUUAUUAAAUAAUAAAUCAGAUCAAGGUGCAGCAAAUAUAAAAGUAAAAAUGGGUUACAAUAAAUUUAUUUAAAUGGAUAAUUAAUUUAAAAUUUGUUUGAAGGUGGAUUUGAAAGUAAUUAAUUUUAUAUAAUUUUAAUGAUUUUAGCUCUAAAAUA
rnacentral:rRNA from 1 species